UCCCGUGUGGCUCAGUUGGUAGAGCAUGGUGUUUGUAACGCCAGGGUUGUGGGUUCGAUUCCCACCCACGGGGG